rnacentral:rRNA from 1 species
AUGGCGGCGGCGGCGGCAGUGGUUGCCCUCGCGUGCGUCCUCUCCCUCGUUCUCUCCGCGCAGGCGGAGGCUCCCUACAGGUUCUUCGACUGGGAGGUCACCUAUGGCGACAUCAACCCGCUCGGAGGAGUUCCGCAGCAGGGUAUUCUGAUCAACGGGCAGUUUCCGGGGCCGGAGAUCGACUGCCAGACGAACGACAACCUGGUCAUCAACGUGCGCAACCGGCUGCCGCAGCCGUUCCUGCUUUCAUGGAACGGGAUCCAGCACAGGAAGAACUCGUGGCAGGAUGGCGUGUCCGGCACCAACUGCCCGAUCCCUCCGGGCCAGAACUACACGUACCACAUGCAGGCCAAGGACCAGAUCGGCAGCUUCUUCUACUUCCCGUCGCUCGCCUUCCACAAGGCGGCCGGCGGCUUCGGCGCCAUCCGCAUCAACAGCCGCCCGCGGAUCCCCGUCCCCUUCCCCCCGCCGGCCGACGAGUUCACCGUGCUCAUCGGCGACUGGUACAACACCACCCACAAGGCUCUCCAAGCCAUGCUGGACGACGGGAAGCUGCUGCCUUCCCCUGACGCCAUCCUGAUCAACGGCAAGGGCCCGGGGCGCGCCAACUUCACGGUGGAGCAGGGUAAGACGUACAGGCUGCGCGUCUCCAACGUCGGCCUGCGGAGCACGCUCAACUUCAUGAUCCAGGACCACAACGUGACCCUCGUGGAGGUGGAGGGCACCCACACGGUGCAGAACACCUACACCUCCCUCGACGUCCACGCCGGCCAGUCGCUCUCCGUGCUCUUCACCGCCGACCGCCCCGCCGGGGGCUACCACAUCGCCGUCUCGUCGCGGUUCACCAACCACACCCUCAACUCCACCGCCGUGCUGCGCUACGCCGGCUCGACCGGCUACGCCUCCGGGCCGCCGCGUGCCGUGAACCAGAGCGACGUUGACUUUUCGCUUAACCAGGCUCGCUCCAUCAGGACGAACCUGACGGCGAGCGGGCCGCGGCCGAACCCGCAGGGCUCGUACCACUACGGGUCCAUCAACGUGAGCCGCACCAUCCGGCUGGCCAACUCGGCGGGGCAGGUCGGCGGCAAGCCGAGGUACGGCGUGAACGGCGUGACGUACGUGGACGCCGACACGCCCCUCAAGCUGGCCGACUACUACAACAUCAGCGGCGUGUACCGGAUGGGCGCCAUCCCGGACGCGCCCGCGGCCAGCCACAGCGGGACGCAGAACGGGACCGGCGCCGACGCGGCGCUGAAGAACGCGACGGCCGUCAUGGACUCCGACCACCGCUCCUUCGUCGAGGUCGUGUUCGAGAACAGCGAGGACAGCGUCCAGAGCUGGCACCUCGACGGCUACAGCGUCUUCGUCGUCGGGAUGGACAAGGGGGCGUGGAGCGAGGAGAGCAGGAAAGGCUACAAUCUCGUGGAUGCAGUCACGAGGUGCACGGUGCAGGUAGGAUUUUCUUUCUUUUCAUUCAUGCUUAGUGGUGGUAUCAAAAUACUGUCAAUGUGUUUUUAUUCACCUAUUCUGUUGUUGGUUUGCGAAGGUGUAUCCGAGAGGGUGGACGGCGAUCUUCAUCGCGCUGGACAACGUGGGGAUGUGGAACGUGAGGUCGGAGGAUUGGGUGCGCAGGUACCUGGGCCAGCAGUUCUACCUCCGGGUGUACACGCCGGCGCACUCCGUCCGCGACGAGCUCACCGUGCCGACCAACGCGAUCCUCUGCGGCCGCGCUGCCAACAAGAGCCGCCUGCCAUUCUCUCAGUAGUGAGCACUGAGCAGCCGCUGGCAGGGAAUGAUCCAAUUGUAUCAGAGUAUUAG